rnacentral:rRNA from 1 species
GACGAACGCUGGCGGCGCGCCUAACACAUGCAAGUCGAACGGAGAAUACAGGACUGAAGCCUUCGGGCAGAUGACCUGUAUUCUUAGUGGCGGACGGGUGAGUAACACGUGAGCAACCUGCCUUCAAGAGGGGGAUAGCACCUGGAAACGGGUGGUAAUACCGCAUAAGACCACAGUGUCGCAUGGCACAGAGGUCAAAGGAGCAAUCCGCUUGAAGAUGGGCUCGCGUCCGAUUAGAUAGUUGGUGAGGUAACGGCUCACCAAGUCGACGAUCGGUAGCCGGACUGAGAGGUUGAACGGCCACAUUGGGACUGAGACACGGCCCAGACUCCUACGGGAGGCAGCAGUGGGGGAUAUUGCACAAUGGGGGAAACCCUGAUGCAGCGACGCCGCGUGAGCGAAGAAGUAUUUCGGUAUGUAAAGCUCUAUCAGCAGGGAAGAAAAAAAUGACGGUACCU